rnacentral:rRNA from 1 species
AGGCCCUUCGGGGUACUCGAGUGGCGAACGGGUGAGUAACACGUGGGUGAUCUGCCCUGCACUUUGGGAUAAGCCUGGGAAACGGGGGCUAAUACCGAAUAUUCAUACCGGAUGGCAUCAUGUGGUGUGGAAAGUUUUUCGGCCUGGGAUGGGCUCGCGGCCUAUCAGCUUGUUGGUGGGGUGAUGGCCUACCAAGGCGACGACGGGUAGCCGGCCUGAGAGGGCGACCGGCCACACUGGGACUGAGACACGGCCCAGACUCCUACGGGAGGCAGCAGUGGGGAAUAUUGCACAAUGGGCGGAAGCCUGAUGCAGCGACGCCGCGUGAGGGAUGAAGGCCUUCGGG